GGGCUGUAGUCGGUCCCAAGGGUUGGGCUGUUCGCCCAUUAAAGCGGUACGCGAGCUGGGUUCAGAACGUCGUGAGACAGUUCGGUCCCUAUCCGUCGCGGGCGCAGGAAUUGAGAGGAGCUGUCCUUAGUACGAGAGGACCGGGAUGGACGCACCGCUGGUGUACCAGUUGUUCUGCCAAGGGCAUCGCUGGGUAGCUAUGUGCGGACGGGAUAAGUGCUGAAAGCAUCUAAGCAU
rnacentral:rRNA from 1 species